rnacentral:lncRNA from 1 species
GGAGUAAUUUGUUGAUGAUGCAGCCAUUUCCUUCCCUUGACAGUGUUUACAACAUAGUGCUAAAUGAUGAGAAAUAGAGACAAGUUCAAUCUAUUUCUCAAAUCAGUCCAGACUCUAUAUCUUUUAAUGCUCUUGCAAACAAGCACUCAGUUGGGUCUAAUCAGGCCACAGUGCCUAGACCCCCUAUUUUCAGACCCAGAAUUAAUUUUGAGCAAAGCAGUGGGCCCUUAUUUUGCAGAUACUGCA